rnacentral:tRNA from 1 species
GAGGUUGUGGCUCAGUGGUAGAGCGCUUGCCUUGCAUGUGUGAGGAACCAAGUUCUAUCCUUAGCACCACA